rnacentral:rRNA from 1 species
AAUUGAAUUAUUAUUAUUAUUAUUAAUUUAUAAGGAUUAUUAAAUAAAAAAAUAUUUAUUUUAUUAUAAUUUAAGAAAAAAUUUUAAAUAAUUAUAGUUAAAAGUAUUGUGAAAGAAUUAAUUAAUUUAUAUAAAAGAAAAAUUUAAAUUUUGUACCUUUUGCAUCAGGGUUAAUUAAAAAUUAAUUAAAUAUUUAAUAUUCUCGAAUUUAAAAGAGCUAAUUAAUUAUAAAUUUUAUUGUUUUAUAAAUAUUUAAAAUAAUUAAUUAGAAAUGAAACGUUAUUCGUUUUUAAAUAUAUCUAGUUUUCAAAUAAAUAAAUUUAAUUUAUUUAUUAAUAAUUAAAAAUUUAAAUUUUUAAAUUUUUAUUAAUUAAUAAGAAAUUUUUUUAGGGAUAAGCUUAAAAAAAAAAUAUUAUAAUAAAAUUAAGUAAUAAAAUAAAUUAUAAGAUUAAAAAUUUCUAUAAAUAAAAAAUUGUUAUAAUUAAUUAUUUUAAGUAUAUUAUUUAUAUUUUAUUUAAAUUUUAUAUUUGAAUAAAUUUUAAAAUUUAAUUAAUUUUGAAAUAAUGAUUAAAUUAGUAUAAUUUUAUUGUAAUAUUAAAUUUAAAUUUAAGGUUAAAUUAAGGAAUUCGGCAAAUUUAUUUUUCACCUGUUUAAUAAAAACAUGUCUUUUUGAAUAUAAUUUAAAGUCUAAUCUGCCCAAUGAGUAAUUAAAUGGCCGCGGUAUUUUGACCGUGCAAAGGUAGCAUAAUAAUUAGUUUCUUAAUUAGAAGCUGGAAUGAAAGAUUGAAUGAGAAAAUAACUGUCUCAAUUUAAUUUAAUUAGAAUUUUAUUUUUAAGUUAAAAAGCUUAAAUAUUAUUAAAAGACGAGAAGACCCUAUAGAGUUUGAUUUUAUUUUACAAUAAAUAUUUAUUGAUUAAAUUAUAUUUAUUUUAAAAUAAAAUUUUGUUGGGGUGACAAAAAAAUUAAGUAAACUUUUUUUAUAUAAAACCAUUAAUUGAUGAGUAUUUGAUCCAAAAUUUUUGAUUAAAAGAUUAAAUUACCUUAGGGAUAACAGCGUAAUUUUUUUUGAGAGUUCAUAUCGAAAAAAAAGAUUGCGACCUCGAUGUUGGAUUAAAGUUAAAAUUUGGUGUAGAAGCUAAAUCUUUAGGUCUGUUCGACCUUUAAAACUUUACAUGAUCUGAGUUUAAACCGGUGUAAGCCAGGUUGGUUUCUAUCUUUAAUAAAUUAAAAUAUUUUAGUACGAAAGGACCAAAUAUUUAUUAUAAUAAUUUUAUUUAUGAAUAAUAUUAAUAAAA